rnacentral:tRNA from 1 species
UCACUGAUGGCCCAGUGGCUAAGACGCCACACUCCCAAUGCAGAAUACCCAGGUUCAAUCCCUGGUCAGGGAA